rnacentral:rRNA from 1 species
UCUNUGGGCCGUUACUGACGCUGAGGAGCGAAAGCGUGGGGAGCGAACAGGAUUAGAUACCCUGGUAGUCCACGCCGUAAACGUUGGGCACUAGGUGUGGGGGGCCUUUUCCGGNUCUUCCGCGCCGUAGCUAACGCAUUAAGUGCCCCGCCUGGGGAGUACGGCCGCAAGGCUAAAACUCAAAGGAAUUGACGGGGGCCCGCACAAGCGGCGGAGCAUGCGGAUUAAUUCGAUGCAACGCGAAGAGCCUUACCAAGGCUUGACAUGUGCCGGUCGGCUCCGGAGACGGGGCUUCCUCCUUGUGGGGCCGGUUCACAGGUGGUGCAUGGUUGUCGUCAGCUCGUGUCGUGAGAUGUUGGGUUAAGUCCCGCAACGAGCGCAACCCUUGUCCCGUGUUGCCAGCACGUUGUGGUGGGGACUCGCGGGAGACUGCCAGGGUCAACUCGGAGGAAGGUGGGGAUGACGUCAAAUCAUCAUGCCCCUUAUGUCUUGGGCUUCACGCAUGCUACAAUGGCCGGUACAGAGGGCUGCGAUACCGUGAGGUGGAGCGAAUCCCUUAAAGCCGGUCUCAGUUCGGAUCGGUGUCUGCAACUCGACACCGUGAAGUUGGAGUCGCUAGUAAUCGCAGAUCAGCAACGCUGCGGUGAAUACGUUCUCGGGCCUUGUACACACCGCCCGUCACGUCAUGAAAGUCGGCAACACCCGAAGCCCGUGGCCCUACGGGGAGCGGUCGAA